CUGUGCAGCGUUACCAUCUUGUAACUUAAUCUCAUCAAAUCUCAGGAGCUAAGCAAGGAUGGGCAUGGUCAGUACUGGGACGGGAGACCUCCAAUAAAAAGGAGGUUGUUGCUCUAA
rnacentral:rRNA from 1 species